rnacentral:rRNA from 1 species
UCUGGUUAUAAUAGCAGAGAGGAUACACCUGUUCCCAUUCCGAACACAGAAGUUAAGCUCUCUAGCGCUGCUGGUCGUUGGGGGGAAACGGCCUGGGAGAGUAGGACAUAGCCAGGU